CCAGGGGUAACUUUGUACUGAAGCGCAUGACUAGGGUUUUCGCUGCGCUAUAAAACCAUCAUCUCGCCAGGUUCCAAUUUGUGUACUAGGGUUUUCGGGAGGGGGAGACGAAUCGGAAAGCCGACCACCUUCGCCGCCGAAAUCGUCAAAGAUGCCAAAGCAAAUUCACGAGAUUAAGGAUUUCCUUCUCACAGCAAGAAGGAAAGAUGCACGCUCUGUCAAAAUCAAGAGGAGCAAGAAUGUUGUCAAGUUCAAAGUUCGAUGCUCUAAGUACCUCUAUACACUGUGUGUGCUUGACUCUGAGAAAGCAGACAAGUUGAAGCAAUCUCUUCCUCCAGGUUUGAAUGUCCAAGAAGUUUGAAGAUGAUGCUGGAGACAUUUUAAAAAGUAGCUCGAAACAUUGCUCCGUUUUCAUUUUCUUUUUAACUAAGAAACUUCGGGACUUCUUUAGCAUCGGCCUCUACAUGUGUUUUGAAUUUUGGAGAUAAUUCUCAUUAGUUUUUCAUUUUGUUACCAUUGAGUCAUCUUGAAGAUUUUGGUAUAUUUGAUUUGCUACUUGGAAAUUGGAACUAGUUUGUAUCAGAUAUUCUCUCAGGUUCCUCUGUGUUUUUCACUUGGUUAUAAGCACUCAGAAAGAACUGAUCUGGUGGAUUUCUAGCUCUUUUAA